rnacentral:rRNA from 1 species
GACGAACGCUGGCGGCGUGCCUAAUACAUGCAAGUCGAACGCAGUGGGGACGGGUGAGUAACACGUGGGUAACCUCCCAUCAGAGGGGAUAACACUUGGAAACAGGUGCUAAACCGAUACUGAUGGAUGGACCCGCGGUGCAUUAGCUGGUUGGUGAGGUAACGGCUCACCAAGGCGACGAUGCAUAGCCGGCUUGAGAGGGUGAGCGGCUAAACUGCAACUGAGGGACUGCCCUAACUCCCACGCGAGGCAGCGGUGGGGAAUCUUCGGCAAUGGACGAAAGUCUGACCGCGCAACGCCGCGUGGCUGAAGAAGGGUUUCGGACCGUAAAACUCUGUUGUUAGAGCGGCGGUAUCUAACCAGAAAGCCACGGCUAACUACGUGCCAGCAGCCGCGGUAAUAC